rnacentral:rRNA from 1 species
UACGAAGGGUGCAAGCGUUACUCGGAAUUACUGGGCGUAAAGGGUGCGUAGGUGGUCGUUUAAGUCCGUUGUGAAAUCCCUGGGCUCAACCUGGGAAUGGCAGUGGAUACUGGACGGCUAGAAUGCGGUAGAGGGUAGUGGAAUUCCCGGUGUAGCAGUGAAAUGCGUAGAGAUCGGGAGGAACACCAGUGGCGAAGGCGGCUACCUGGACCAGCAUUGACACUCAGGCACGAAAGCAUGGGGAUCAAACAGG